rnacentral:rRNA from 1 species
UGGGGAAUUUUGGACAAUGGGCGAAAGCCUGAUCCAGCAAUGCCGCGUGUGUGAAGAAGGCCUUCGGGUUGUAAAGCACUUUUGUCCGGAAAGAAAUCCUUGGCUCUAAUACAGUCGGGGGAUGACGGUACCGGAAGAAUAAGCACCGGCUAACUACGUGCCAGCAGCCGCGGUAAUACGUAGGGUGCAAGCGUUAAUCGGAAUUACUGGGCGUAAAGCGUGCGCAGGCGGUUUGCUAAGACCGAUGUGAAAUCCCCGGGCUCAACCUGGGAACUGCAUUGGUGACUGGCAGGCUAGAGUAUGGCAGGAGGGGGGUAGAAUUCCACGUGUAGCAGUGAAAUGCGUAGAGAUGUGGAGGAAUACCGAUGGCGAAGGCAGCCCCCUGGGCAAUACUGACGCUCAUGCACGAAAGCGUGGGGAGCAAACAGGAUUAGAUACCCUGGUAGUCCACGCCCUAAACGAUGUCAACUAGUUG